GACGAACGCUGGCGGCGUGCUUAACACGUGCAAGUCGAGCGGUAAGGCCCUUUCGGGGGUACACGAGCGGCGAACGGGUGAGUAACACGUGGGUGACCUGCCCUCAGCUCUGGGAUAAGCCUGGGAAACCGGGUCUAAUACCGGAUAUGACUCCAUGACGCAUGUUGUGGGGUGGAAAGCCUUGUGCGGCUGAGGAGUGGGCCCGGCGGCCUAUCAGCUUGUUGGUGGGGGUGAUGGCCACCAAGGCGACGACGGGUAGCCGGCCUGAGAGGGC
rnacentral:rRNA from 1 species